CCCGUAUAAUAGAUCUCUCUCUUCCCUCUUUGCCGUAUAGACCUCUCUCUUCCCUCUCGCUCAUCUCUCCUUCUCUCUUUCCCGUGGACAUCUAUCUCCCUCUCGUUCGCAAGCUUUCCUCUUCACAAUCUCGAAUCCAACCACCACCACUACUCUGUUGGUUGUCUCUCUCCCUCUCGUUCUAAACGACUGGCAGCCAUGCGAAUCUCGAAGCCGACGCGAAUCAAGUCCCAAAAUCAAGGGGGCCUGAAGCUCCAGGGCAGCUGUAUUCUCUUCCUUUAGGCUUUGGAAGAGUUCGUUCUGCUGCGAGUCAACCUUACCCUUCUGCAGGAGUCCAUGGGGGGCCUGAAGCUCUAGGGCAGCUGCAUUCACCUCAUUUGGCCUUUGAAAGAGCUCGUUCUGCUGCAAGUCAUUCUUACCCAUCUGCAGGAGUCCAUAGUGUAUAGAUGUCGCAGUUGAUCAUUCGUCGUCGGAGUGUAACCAAUGAGCUUCCCGCAUUAUCAGCAUCUACUGCUCCAGGUCGAACACCGCAGAGGUCGAUGCAUUGAAGGAGGAAGUGACAACCCUAAAGGGUUAGCUUGCGGUCCAGGGCCAACAAAUGAUGGCCCAGGGCGAGGAGCUGAAGGCUUGUGUUGGGCACGUGAGAGACCUUGUAAGAACCAUACAGAUGAUCGGCAUCCAAAUCUCGCUACCAGUACCUGAUUUUGCUCCACCUUCGACCUCCAAGCCACUUCAUAGAAGACUCAUUGUAAUUUUUUUUUUGUUCGGACAUCUUGUAUGUACAUUUUCAUAUAUUUAUAAUUAAAUACUUUUAUUUGGUUAA